GACGAACGCUGGCGGCGUGCCUAAUACAUGCAAGUCGAGCGAAGCGGCGGAUGGGUGAGUAAUGCGUGGGUAACCUGGCUUUAAGUUGGGGAUACCAUUUGGAAACAGAUGCUAAUACCGGAUACUAAAGGAUGGACCUGCGAUGCAUUAGCUAGUUGGUACGGUAACGGCUUACCAAGGCGAUGAUCCAUAGCCGGGUUGAGAGGCUGAUCAGCCACAUUGGAACUGAGACACGGCCCAGACUCCUACGGGAGGCAGCAGUAGGGAAUAUUCCACAAUGGACGAAAGUCUGAUGGAGCAACGCCGCGUGAGUGAAGAAGGUUUUCGGAUCGUAAAGCUCUGUUGUUGGUGAAGCGGUAAUCAACCAAAAAGUCACGGCUAACUACGUGCCAGCAGCCGCGGUAAUAC
rnacentral:rRNA from 1 species